rnacentral:rRNA from 15 species
UGGGCGUUAAGUUGCAGGGUAUAGACCCGAAACCCGGUGAUCUAGCCAUGGGCAGGUUGAAGGUUGGGUAACACUAACUGGAGGACCGAACCGACUAAUGUUGAAAAAUUAGCGGAUGACCUGUGGCUGGGGGUGAAAGGCCAAUCAAACCGGGAGAUAGCUGGUUCUCCCCGAAAGCUAUUUAGGUAGCGCCUCGUGAAUUCAUCUCCGGGGGUAGAGCACUGUUUCGGCUAGGGGGCCAUCCCGGCUUACCAACCCGAUGCAAACUGCGAAUACCGGAGAAUGUUAUCACGGGAGACACACGGCGGGUGCUAACGUCCGUCGUGAAGAGGGAAACAACCCAGACCGCCAGCUAAGGUCCCAAAGUCAUGGUUAAGUGGGAAACGAUGUGGGAAGGCCCAGACAGCCAGGAUGUUGGCUUAGAAGCAGCCAUCAUUUAAAGAAAGCGUAAUAGCUCACUGGUCGAGUCGGCCUGCGCGGAAGAUGUAACGGGGCUAAACCAU